rnacentral:rRNA from 1 species
CCUACGGGAGGCAGCAGUGGGGAAUUUUGGACAAUGGACGCAAGUCUGAUCCAGCCAUGCCGCGUGUGGGAAGAAGGCCUUCGGGUUGUAAACCACUUUUGUCAGGGAAGAAACGGUCUAGGUUAAUACCUUGGGCUAAUGACGGUACCUGAAGAAUAAGCACCGGCUAACUACGUGCCAGCAGCCGCGGUAAUACGUAGGGUGCAAGCGUUAAUCGGAAUUACUGGGCGUAAAGCGUGCGCAGGCGGUUAUGCAAGACAGAUGUGAAAUCCCCGGGCUCAACCUGGGAACUGCAUUUGUGACUGCAUGGCUAGAGUACGGUAGAGGGGGAUGGAAUUCCGCGUGUAGCAGUGAAAUGCGUAGAUAUGCGGAGGAACACCGAUGGCGAAGGCAAUCCCCUGGACCUGUACUGACGCUCAUGCACGAAAGCGUGGGGAGCAAACAGGAUUAGAUACCCUGGUAGUCCACGCCCUAAACGAUGUCAACUGGUUGUUGGGAGGGUUUCUUCUCAGUAACGUAGCUAACGCGUGAAGUUGACCGCCUGGGGAGUACGGCCGCAAGGUUGAAACGUCAAAGGAUUGACGG